rnacentral:rRNA from 1 species
CCUACGGGCGGCUGCAGUCGAGAAUAUUCCACAAUGGGCGAAAGCCUGAUGGAGCGACGCCGCGUGCAGGAUGACCGCCUUCGGGUUGUAAACUGCUUUUAACUGGGAAGAACUUUAAUGACGGUACCAGUUGAAUAAGAGGUUGCUAACUCCGUGCCAGCAGCAGCGGUAAUACGGAGACCUCGAGCGUUAUCCGGAUUUAUUGGGCGUAAAGGGUGUGUAGGCGGUUUAAAUAGUCAGAUGUUAAAUCACUGAGCUCAACUCAGUGGCUGCAUUUGAAACGUUUAAACUCGAAACAGAUAGAGGUGAGCGGAACUCAUGGUGUAGCAGUGAAAUGCGUUGAUAUCAUGGGGAACACCAAAGGCGAAGGCAGCUCACUGGGUCUUGUUUGACGCUGAGACACGAAAGCGUGGGUAGCGAAUGGGAUUAGAUACCCGGGUAGUC